UACGUAGGGACCGAGCGUUGUCCGGAUUCAUUGGGCGUAAAGAGCUCGUAGGCGGCUGUUCAAGUCGAACGUGAAAACUCGGAGCUCAACUCCGAGCCUGCGUUCGAUACUGGACGGCUAGAGUCUGGUAGGGGGAUCUGGAAUUCCUGGUGUAGCGGUGAAAUGCGCAGAUAUCAGGAGGAACACCGGUGGCGAAGGCGGAUCUCUGGGCCUUACCUGACGCUCAGGUGCGAAAGCUAGGGGAGCGAACAGG
rnacentral:rRNA from 1 species